rnacentral:rRNA from 1 species
CCUACGGGAGGCAGCAGUGAGGAAUAUUGGUCAAUGGACGAGAGUCUGAACCAGCCAAGUAGCGUGAAGGAUGACUGCCCUAUGGGUUGUAAACUUCUUUUAUAUGGGAAUAAAAUGUUCCACGUGUGGGUGCUUGUAUGUACCAUAUGAAUAAGGAUCGCCUAACCCCGUGCCAGCAGCCGCGGUAAUACGGAGGAUCCGAGCGUUAUCCGGAUUUAUUGGGUUUAAAGGGAGCGUAGGUUGGUUGUUAAUUUAGUUGUGAAAGUGUGCGGCUCAACCGUAAAAUUGCAGUUGAAACUGGAAGACUUGAGUGCAGUAGAGGAGGGCGGAAUUCGUGGUGUAGCGGUGAAAUGCUUAGAUAUAACGAAGAACUCCGAGUGCGAAGGCAGUUCACUGGACUGCAACUGACACUGAGGCUCGAAAGUGUGGGUAUCAAACAGGAUUAGAUACCCUUGUAGUC